rnacentral:rRNA from 1 species
GACGAACGCUGGCGGCGUGCCUAAUACAUGCAAGUCGAGCGAAGUUUUUCUGGUGCUUGCACUAGAAACACUUAGCGGCGAACGGGUGAGUAACACGUAAAGAACCUGCCUCAUAGACUGGGACAACUAUUGGAAACGAUAGCUAAUACCGGAUAACAGUAUUUCUCGCAUGGGAGAUAUUUAAAAGUUGGUUAUGCUAACACUAUGAGAUGGCUUUGCGGUGCAUUAGCUAGUUGGUGGGGUAAAGGCCCACCAAGGCGACGAUGCAUAGCCGACCUGAGAGGGUGAUCGGCCACACUGGGACUGAGACACGGCCCAGACUCCUACGGGAGGCAGCAGUAGGGAAUCUUCCGCAAUGGGCGAAAGCCUGACGGAGCAACGCCGCGUGAGUGAAGAAGGAUUUCGGUUCGUAAAGCUCUGUUGUUAGGGAAGAAUGGAUAUGUAGUAACUAUACAUGUAAGAGACGGUACCUAACCAGAAAGCCACGGCUAACUACGUG